UACGUAGGGUGCAGGCGUUAAUCGGAAUUACUGGGCGUAAAGCGUGCGCAGGCGGUCUGUUAAGAGAGAUGUGAAAUCCCCGGGCUUAACCUGGGAACUGCGUUUCUAACUGGCAGGCUUGAGUGUGGCAGAGGGGGGUGGAAUUCCACGUGUAGCAGUGAAAUGCGUAGAGAUGUGGAGGAACACCGAUGGCGAAGGCAGCCCCCUGGGCUAACACUGACGCUCAUGCACGAAAGCGUGGGGAGCAAGCAGG
rnacentral:rRNA from 1 species